AUCAAACAUGAGCACAAGAGGAAGGCAACCCAUGAGAUAUUGUCUGGCAAGACAGACAGACUCAAUUGUGCCCUGGAGGUAGACAGUGGAUUUCUUCUGUGGGUUACUAGGGUCAGGGAAAUGGAUCUGAGCACCAGUCCUCUGCAUGAUAUGUUUGAUGUUACUGCCAUUUCGACCCAUCAUAAAGAGAUGAUGCUGCGCUGCAAUGUCUAAUUGCGUGCUCACAGGGAUUGCAGAAGCCAAGCUCCCAGCUAGGUGUUCCAGAAGCAUGGCUGUUCCUUCCUGCAGAGGCAAACAAGAAGCUGAUGAUACGAAGCAUCACAAUAACACAAGAAGCUCAUACAAAAACAAAACAAAAGUUGCAUCAGACUGCACUUAGCAUUCAAGAUAAAGAAAUUCCUGUUUUGAUCCAAAACUCGAUUUAUAACAAACUUCACUAUUUCCAUUUUAUGACAAAAUGGAGAGUUUAAU
rnacentral:lncRNA from 1 species